rnacentral:rRNA from 1 species
UGGCUUGAUAAGCCGGUUGUGAAAGCCCCGGGCUCAACCUGGGAACGGCAUCCGGAACUGUCAAGCUAGAGUGCAGGAGAGGAAGGUAGAAUUCCCGGUGUAGCGGUGAAAUGCGUAGAGAUCGGGAGGAAUACCAGUGGCGAAGGCGGCCUUCUGGACUGACACUGACACUGAGGUGCGAAAGCGUGGGUAGCAAACAGGAUUAGAUACCCUGGUAGUCCACGCCGUAAACGAUGUCGACCAGCCGUUGGGUACCUAGCGCACUUUGUGGCGAAGUUAACGCGAUAAGUCGACCGCCUGGGGAGUACGGCCGCAAGGUUAAAACUCAAAUGAAUUGACGGGGGCCCGCACAAGCGGUGGAGCAUGUGGUUUAAUUCGAUGCAACGCGAAGAACCUUACCUACUCUUGACAUCCUGCGAAUUCGGUAGAGAUACCUUAGUGCCUUCGGGAACGCAGAGACAGGUGCUGCAUGGCUGUCGUCAGUUCGUGUUGUGAAAUGUUGGGUUAAGUCCCGUAACGAGCGCAACCCUUGUCCUUAUUUGCCAGCGCGUAAUGGCGGGAACUCUAAGGAGACUGCCGGUGACAAACCGGAGGAAGGUGGGGACGACGUCAAGUCAUCAUGGCCCUUACGAGUAGGGCUACACACGUGCUACAAUGGUCGGUACAAAGGGUUGCCAACUCGCGAGAGUGAGCCAAUCCCGAAAAGCCGAUCUCAGUCCGGAUCGGAGUCUGCAACUCGACUCCGUGAAGUCGGAAUCGCUAG